UACAGAGGUCCCAAGCGUUGUUCGGAUUCAUUGGGCGUAAAGGGUGCGUAGGCGGCGCGGUAAGUCGGGUGUGAAAUCUCGGGGCUUAACUCCGAAACUGCAUUCGAUACUGCCGUGCUUGAGGACUGGAGAGGAGACUGGAAUUUACGGUGUAGCGGUGAAAUGCGCAGAUAUCAGGAGGAACACCGGUGGCGAAGGCGGUUCUCUGGGAAUGUCCUGACGCUGAGGAGCGAAAGUGUGGGGAGCGAACAGG
rnacentral:rRNA from 1 species